UAAAGACAAAGCUACUGCACAUGUAAUAUAAACAUAACUUUUAGUUGCACUGGGAAACCAAAAAAUGUGUGUGACUGACUUUGUUGUAGUGGUCUGGCACCGAACCUGCAAUGAACCCACAACAAUAUCUGCAAAGUUUGCCUGUCCCGACCAAGCUAGCUUCAGUGCCGGCCGUUGAGAGGUGCUGCGAUUGCUAAUAAUCGCUGCUUCCCACUUGCCUUUUGACUGCAUCUGAAACUCCGUUGUAGAGUAUGCUUAGCAAAAGAGAUGUUUCCUAACUACGUGAGAUGAUUUGUUUCUAUCUCACUUCUCCCUUUUGGGAAUAUUUACUUCCUCUGAAAAUCAAAUGCAGUGUCCUCCAGCCAUGUUUCAUGCGAGAAAAACCGGGAUGGCUCAUUUGAAAUCUCCAGGGGCAACGAGCGGAUCAGUUUGAGGGGAAAUCUGAUCCCACUUGGGGCUUCUCAACCAGUGUCAGCCGGUCUUCUGCUGUCAUCCCAGAUUUCAAGACAGCAACAGGAGAGCAUGAAGCCUUAGUGUGGGUCCCCUCUCAACAUCGGCUCUGUGCAACUGCCCGGGUCACAGGGUGACCGACCAUCAAGAAGUUCAGUCCCAGCUUGAACUUCUCUGCCCACCAAGCCUCCAGUGACCCUGGCUGGACCUACGGACCCCUCAACCUCCAGCGCCUCCAGCUCCCUGGCCCAGAAGGCCCUGGUUGCAGAUGGGACAGCUAGCAAACAUGGGCCACAGAAGCCUGGGAGAAGGCCUGCUCCUACGACCAGAGGACCAGCAGACCACUUGCACCAGGACCCACGUGGGCUUGGGAUUGCCUGCACCAACAUCAAAACAAGCUGACGGAGCUGGCACAGUGGUGUGCGCCUGUAGUCCCAGCUACUUGGGAAACUGAGGCAGGAGGAUCCCUUGAGCCCAGGAGUUGGAGUCUAGCCCAGGCAACAUAGUGAGGCCCCACCUCUUAAACAGAUAAAAAACAAGCUGACAGAGACUGAGCUGUGAUUUCAGCUGAGGAGAUGAGCUCCCAGGCAGGUCAGAUUCAACCAAACUCCAGGUUCAGCCAAACUCCCAUUCUCUGGUCUGAUGGGGCAGCCCUGGGCAAUGGAAAGAGACGUGGUUCCUAAGGCUGGUUCCCAGAGUUGUAGCCAAGAGACCCCGGGGAACAGCACGUAUCCUCUGCCUCACUUUCCUCAUCUGGGAAGAGGGGACAACACCCACUCUGUGUGUCACUGGCUCUGUAAGCCAUGGAGUGCUAGACAGAUUGAGGGACACUGGGAUGCUCCAACCAUGAGCACAAGGGCUGCAGAACCCACAAAGCUUAUGGACUCAAAUCACCAGGGCAAAGUCCUUCAUACUCCAUGAACACGAAUGUGUUAAAAUGAAAGGGGUUUCUAACCAACUGUCAUCUAAAGUAGAACUUCUCAAACUAUCUGUGGGUAUGAUUUAAAAAAAUAUUUUUUAAAAGCUUUAUUUCA